AGUAACACGUGACUAACCUACCCUGGAGUGGGGAAUAACUGAGGGAAACCUUAGCUAAUACCGCAUAAUACCUACGGGUCAAAGGAGCAAUUCGCUUCAGGAGGGGGUCGCGGCGAUUAGCUAGUUGGCGGGGUAAUGGCCCACCAAGGCAAUGAUCGGUAUCCGGCCUGAGAGGGCGCACGGACACACUGGAACUGAAACACGGUCCAGGCUCCUACGGGAGGCAGCAGUGGGGAAUUUUGGCGCAAUGGGGGAAACCCUGACGCAGCAACGCCGCGUGGAGGAUGAAAUCCCUUGGGAUGUAAACUCCUUUCGAUCGGGACGAUUAUGACGGUACCGGAAGAAGAAGCCCCGGCUAACUUCGUGCCAGCAGCCGCGGUAAUACGAGGGGGGCAAGCGUUGUUCGGAAUUAUUGGGCGUAAAGGGAGUGUAGGCGGUUUGGUAAGUCGUGUGUGAAAUCUUCGGGCUCAACCCGAAGUCUGCACACGAAACUGCCGGGCUUGAGGGUGGGAGCAG
rnacentral:rRNA from 1 species